UACGGCCAUAUCCUGCUGAAACAUCGGCUCGCGUACGAUCUCCAAAGUUAAGCAACGUUUAGCCUAAUCAGAACCUCGAUGGAUGUCCGCUUGGGAAUACCACGUGA